rnacentral:rRNA from 1 species
CACACCGCCCGUCACACCAUGGGAGUUGGCUCUACCCGAAGACGGUGUGUUAACCUCGCAAGAGGAGGCAGCCGGCCACGGUCGGGUCAGCGACUGGGGUG